AUUGAACGCUGGCGGCAUGCCUUAUACAUGCAAGUCGAACGGCAGCACGGGUGCUUGCACCUGGUGGCGAGUGGCGAACGGGUGAGUAUUACAUCGGAACAUGUCCCGUAGUGGGGGAUAGCCCGGCGAAAGCCGGAUUAAUACCGCAUACGAUCUACGGAAGAAAGCGGGGGUCCUUCGGGCCUCGCGCUAUAGGGUUGGCCGAUGGCUGAUUAGCUAGUUGUUGGGGUAAAGGCCUACCAAGGCGAAGAUCAGUAGCUGGUCUGAGAGGACGACCAGCCACACUGGAACUGAGACACGCCCCAGACUCCUACGGGAGGCAGCAGUGGGGAAUUUUGGACAAUGGGCGAAGGCCUGAUCAAGCAAUGCCGCGUGGGUGAGGAAGGCCUUGGGGUUGUAAAGCACGUUUGUAGGGAAAGAAAUCCUUGGGACUGAAACAGUCAGGGAAUGACGGUACCGAAAGAGAAAGCACCGGCUAACUACGUG
rnacentral:rRNA from 1 species